rnacentral:rRNA from 1 species
CGAACGCUGGCGGCGUGCUUAACACAUGCAAGUCGAACGGAAAGGCCCUGCUUGCAGGGUACUCGAGUGGCGAACGGGUGAGUAACACGUGGGUGAUCUGCCCUGCACUUCGGGAUAAGCCUGGGAAACUGGGUCUAAUACCGGAUAGGAGCCAUUUUUAGUGUGAUGGUUGGAAAGUUUUUUCGGUGUAGGAUGAGCUCGCGGCCUAUCAGCUUGUUGGUGGGGUAAUGGCCUACCAAGGCGGCGACGGGUAGCCGGCCUGAGAGGGUGGACGGCCACAUUGGGACUGAGAUACGGCCCAGACUCCUACGGGAGGCAGCAGUGGGGAAUAUUGCACAAUGGGCGCAAGCCUGAUGCAGCGACGCCGCGUGGGGGAUGACGGCCUUCGGGUUGUAAACUCCUUUCGCUAGGGACGAAGCUUUUUGUGACGGUACCUAGAUAAGAAGCACCGGCUAACUACGU